UCCCUAGGUUGUUCCCAUGGCUACAACUCCCACUGCGCAGCCGCACUGCUGCGGCUGGGGGCCCUCGCUGGGCUCCCGUGGCGCUAUUGCCUCCCUUUGCACCUUCCGGUCUGCGUGUUGUGAUGGCUCCCUCUGAUGGCAGUCGCUGGAUGCUUCAUCCACGUGUAGUGGUUUUCUUUCCUCUGCACACCUCUCAGUACAUACUCCAGCUGGGACAAUCUUUUCAGAUGAACACCCUGUUUUUAUCCCAGUCUGAUAAAUUUUUCUUGAAAAGAGGUCAAACAGGAAAGCAAACCUUCCUCUGCCUGUCUCAGUGCAAUCAUGAAGAUCACGCAAGAUAGUCCCUGUUGGAGUGUGUGUGCUUCAGCAGUGCAGAGCAUUCAAAGGUUUGAGGUGAAGGCCAAAAUAGAAAUUGCCAUCAAGCUCCAGAUGAUCCUCAGUGAGGGAUACCGCUCUCUCAGUAUUCAAGAGUCACCCUUCCACAGAGAAGCCCUAGACUGCCCAUCAGUGGAAUAUGAGAGAGAGCCAGAGCCUUCAGACCAAGACAAUCGAACAUCCCUGGAUAUCUGAGAUAGCCAGCCUUUCUUCUGGAGAGCUUCCCAGGUAACCAGCAUCCGAAACCCCAGCUGCUGUCUCCAUGGUGAUCAGGAUACCCCCUGUGGUAAGUACCUUGUGAGGGCCACACAAUAUCCAUGGCCGCAGAUGUAUGUGAUAUGCUGAAUUAUUGGCAUGGGGAAGUGUCAGGAAGCAAGGCCACUGAGGCUUCUUUUUAUGCAAUUAAUGAUGUUCAUUUCUGCCUAUCUUUUGCCCAUGCAGCAGAGCAAGGUGCAGAAAGCCACUACAGAAAAUUAGCCAUAAUUUAGGUAAUAUCUCAAAUGCCCCGUCAGUUACUUGAUUAUGUGAUUGAAAGGAACAUUUCAUUUGGAGAUUUGCAAUUUUCUGGUGCUACUGGCAUUACACAAUUACGUUUCCUGUCAUUUAUCACAUUGUGGAAUACCAAGACAAAUUCCUCUCUCCUUACAUUUAUCAUACUAC
rnacentral:lncRNA from 1 species